GCUGAAGAACGUAGCGAAAUGCGAUACGUAAUGUGAAUUGCAAAUUCAGUGAAUCAUCGAGUCUUUGAACGCACAUUGCGCCCCCUGGUAUUCCGGGGGGCAUGCCUGUCCGAGCGUCAUUGCUGCCCUCAAGCACGGCUUGUGUGUUGGGCCCCGUCCUCCGAUCCCGGGGGACGGGCCCGAAAGGCAGCGGCGGCACCGCGUCCGGUCCUCGAGCGUAUGGGGCUUUGUCACCCGCUCUGUAGGCCCGGCCGGCGCUUGCCGAUCAACCCAAAUUUUUAUCCAGGUUGACCUCGGAUCAGGUAGGGAUACCCGCUGAACUUAAGCAUAUCAAUAAGCGGAGGA
rnacentral:misc_RNA from 1 species